UUUGUCUUAGUAUGGUGGACUAAUAUAGAUACUUGGCAUGACCGGCAUGAAAGAUAUCCUUUAGGCUCUAGAGGGAAACAGGUCAUUGCUUUUCCACCAGUUGCAUUAAUAUGUUUGUCUACAAAUUUCUAUGUUCUUUGUCUUCCAAGUUCUAAUGUUCCAAUUAGCUGAUGUAUGAACCUAGCUUGUAAAAACAAGUCCGUACAUUUUAAGCUCAUUUUCACAAUUGGCAACGAAAAAUCAACAGAACAGCCAAUCAAGGUGCCAAGAAAAUGAACAAUGACCAAUCAAGGUGCCGAGAAAAUCAACAGAACAGCCAAUCAAGGAGCUAUUAGUAGUGUGCGGAAUUGAGAUGCAUGCCACUAAGAGGGUGAUCAAUCUUCUCGUUCUGCCAAGCCUCCACAAGAGCCACCAAACAAUAUCCUCUUCAUCCAGAACUAUCCUGGUCUUUAUGGCGAGGCAUGAUCGGAAUUUGCUAUGAUCAUUUUCUCCGGUGUUUACUUUAGUUAGUUUAUAAUGUUUCGAACUAGAGUUUAGUUCUACAAGUGUUUACUUAAGUUCGUUAUUUUGUUUGAUUGAGAAGUCUGGCGUGUUAGACUCUUUAUCUUGUUUGAUUCAAAAUACUCUCUAUGCUACUUUUAAAAUAGUUCAAUUGCACUCUGAAACUCAGCCGUUGGCUAGACAAAAGAAAUUGCUGACUCUA